UCUUAUUUUUAAAGUAUUUAUAUCGCCGUCCCAAGGUUAAACUUAAAAAUUAAAUCAAAAAAACCCUCUUACUACGUCAGGUCGAGAUAAAGCCUAUAAAUAAGGGAGCCUAGUUACUCAUUUCUUUUAGCAAAUAUUACUUACCAAAAGAGUAAUUAUCAUAGGAUUUAAUAGUAAUUUGCAGGUAAUUUUUGUAAAUGAAAAAUUUUUAAGGUGUACAUAUCGCCCGUCACCCUCAUCCAAAGACGAGGUAAGUCGUAACAUAGUUAAUGUACUGGAAAGUGCAUUAAGGG
rnacentral:rRNA from 1 species